GACGAACGCUGGCGGCGUGCUUAACACAUGCAAGUCGAACGGAAAGGCCCUGCUUUUGUGGGGUGCUCGAGUGGCGAACGGGUGAGUAACACGUGAGUAACCUGCCCUUGACUUUGGGAUAACUUCAGGAAACUGGGGCUAAUACCGGAUAGGAGCUCCUGCUGCAUGGUGGGGGUUGGAAAGUUUCGGCGGUUGGGGAUGGACUCGCGGCUUAUCAGCUUGUUGGUGGGGUAGUGGCUUACCAAGGCUUUGACGGGUAGCCGGCCUGAGAGGGUGAACGGCCACAAUGGGACUGAGAGACGGCCCAGACUCCUACGGGAGGCAGCAGUGGGGAAUAUUGCACAACGGGCGGAAGCCUGAUGCAGAAACGCCGCGUGCGGGAUGACGGCCUUCGGGUUGUAAACAGCUUUCGCCGGUGACGAAGAGUGAGUGACGGUAAUGGGUAAAGAAGCACCGGCUAACUACGUG
rnacentral:rRNA from 1 species